AUUGAACGCUGGCGGCAUGCUUGACACAUGCAAGUCGAACGGCAGCACGUUGUGUAGCAAUACACAAGGGUGGCGAGUGGCGGACGGGUGAGUAAUGCGUAGGAAUCUGCCUUAAAGAGGGGGACAACCCGAGGAAACUCGGGCUAAUACCGCAUAAAGUUGAGAGACCAAAGGCUGGGGCAACCUGGCGCUUUAAGAGGAGCCUGCGUCUGAUUAGCUAGUUGGUGGGGUAAAGGCCUACCAAGGCGAUGAUCGGUAGCUGGUCUGAGAGGAUGAUCAGCCACACUGGGACUGAGACACGGACCAGACUCCUACGGGAGGCAGCAGUGGGAAAUAUUGGACAAUGGGGGCAACCCUGAUCCAGCAAUGCCGCGUGUGUGAAGAAGGCCUUCGGGUUGUAAAGCACUUUAGGCUGGGAAGAAGGUAUGUAGUUUAAGAGAUGACAUAUUUGACUGUACCAGCAGAAUAAGCACCGGCUAACUCUGUGCCAGCCGCCGCCGUAA
rnacentral:rRNA from 1 species